rnacentral:rRNA from 1 species
GAUGAACGCUGGCGGCAUGCUUAACACAUGCAAGUCGACCGGAAUUUGGGUUUUUAACUUAGGAUUGGGUGGCGGACGGGUGAGUAACGCGUAUAGAACUUGCCUCACAGCUAGGAAUAACAUCUGGAAACGAAUGCUAUUACCUAACAUUAUGAUAAUAGGGCAUCGUAUAAUUAUGAAAGCUAUAAGCGCUGUGAGAGAGCUGUGCGUCCCAUUAGCUAGUUGGAGAGGUAACGGCACACCAAGGCGAUGAUGGGUAGCCGGCCUGGGAGGGAGAUCGGCCACAAGGACUGGGAGACAGAGCCCGUACAGCUUCGUGAGGGAGGAGGGAGGGAUAUAUGACGAAGGACCGAGAGUCUGAUGCAGCAGUUCUGUGUGGACGAUGAAGUUUGUCGGAAGGUAGAGUAGUUUCAGUAGGCAAGAAAAUAAUGACGGUACCAACAGAAGAAGCGACGGCUAACUACGUG